CCCCUAGUAACUGCGAGUGAAGCGGGAAAAGCUCAAAUUUAAAAUCUGGCGGUCUUUGGCUGUCCGAGUUGUAAUCUAGAGAAGUGCUACCCGCGCUGGACCGUGUACAAGUCUCCUGGAAUGGAGCGUCAUAGAGGGUGAGAAUCCCGUCUCUGACACGGACUACCAGGGCUUUGUGGUACGCUCUCAAAGAGUCGAGUUGUUUGGGAAUGCAGCUCUAAAUGGGUGGUAAAUUCCAUCUAAAGCUAAAUAUUGGCGAGAGACCGAUAGCGAACAAGUACCGUGAGGGAAAGAUGAAAAGAACUUUGGAAAGAGAGUUAAACAGUACGUGAAAUUGCUGAAAGGGAAACGCUUGAAGUCAGUCGCGUUGGCCAGGGAUCAGCCUCGCUUUGCGUGGUGUACUUUCUGGUUAACGGGUCAGCAUCAAUUUUGACUGCUGGAAAAAGGCUUGGGGAAUGUGGCAGCUCCGGCUGUGUUAUAGCCCUUUGUCAUAUACAGUGGUUGGGAUUGAGGAACUCAGCACGCCGCAAGGCCGGGUUUCGACCACGUUCGUGCUUAGGAUGCUGGCAUAAUGGCUUUAAGCGACCCGUCUUGAAACACGGACCAAGGAGUCUAACAUGCCUGCGAGUGUUUGGGUGGAAAACCCGAGCGCGUAAUGAAAGUGAAAGUUGAGAUCCCUGUCGUGGGGAGCAUCGACGCCCGGACCAGAACUUUUGGGACGGAUCCGCGGUAGAGCAUGUAUGUUGGGACCCGAAAGAUGGUGAACUAUGCCUGAAUAGGGUGAAGCCAGAGGAAACUCUGGUGGAGGCUCGUAGCGAUUCUGACGUGCAAAUCGAUCGUCAAAUUUGGGUAUAGGGGCGAAAGACUAAUCGA
rnacentral:rRNA from 1 species